rnacentral:misc_RNA from 1 species
GAUGAAGAACGUAGCGAAAUGCGAUAAGUAAUGUGAAUUGCAGAAUUCCGUGAAUCAUCGAAUCUUUGAACGCACAUUGCGCCCCCUGGCAUUCCGGGGGGCAUGCCUGUCCGAGCGUCAUUUCUGCCCUCAAGCACGGCUUGUGUGUUGGGUGUGGUCCCCCGGGGACCUGCCCGAAAGGCAGCGGCGACGUCCGUCUGGUCCUCGAGCGUAUGGGGCUCUGUCACUCGCUCGGGAAGGACCUGCGGGGGUUGGUCACCACUAUAUAUUACCACAGUUGACCUCGGAUCAGGUAGGAGUUACCCGCUGAACUUAAGCAUAUCAAUAAGCGGAGGA